UACGGAGGAUGCAAGCGUUAUCCGGAAUGAUUGGGCGUAAAGCGUCCGCAGGUGGCUGUGUAAGUCUGCUGUUAAAGAGUCUAGCUCAACUAGAUAAAAGCAGUGGAAACUACACGGCUAGAGUACGUUCGGGGCAGAGGGAAUUCCUGGUGUAGCGGUGAAAUGCGUAGAGAUCAUGAGGAAGACCAGUGGCGAAGGCGGGUCUCUGGACAGUUCCUGACACUGAGGCCCGAAGGCCAGGGGAGCAAACGGG
rnacentral:rRNA from 1 species